UACGGAAGGCAGCAGUGGGGAAUAUUGCACAAUGGGCGCAAGCCUGAUGCAGCCAUGCCGCGUGUAUGAAAAAGGCCUUCGGGUUGUAAAGUACUUUCAGUCGUGAGGAAGGUGUUAAGGUUAAUAACCUUAGCAAUUGACGUUAGCGACAGAAGAAGCACCGGCUAACUCCGUGCCAGCAGCCGCGGUAAUACGGAGGGUGCGAGCGUUAAUUGGAAUUACUGGGCGUAAAGGGCACGCAGGCGGUUAAUUAAGUUGGAUGUGAAAUCCCCGGGCUUAACCUGGGAAUGGCAUUCAAGACUGGUUAGCUAGAGUCUUGUAGAGGGGGUAGAAUUCCAUGUGUAGCGGUGAAAUGCGUAGAGAUGUGGAGGAAUACCGGUGGCGAAGGCGGCCCCUGGACAAAGACUGACGCUCAUGUGCGAAAGCGUGGGGAGCAAACAGGGAUUAGAUACC
rnacentral:rRNA from 1 species